rnacentral:rRNA from 1 species
AGAGGUGGCGAGCGUUGUUCGGAAUUAUUGGGCGUAAAGAGCACGUAGGUGGGUUUGCAAGUCAGAUGUGAAAGCCUUCUGCUCAACGGGAGAAUUGCAUCUGAAACUGCGAAUCUUGAGUAUAGGAGGGGAGAAUGGAACUUCUGGUGGAGCGGUGAAAUGCGUAGAUAUCAGAAGGAACGCCGGCGGCGAAAGCGAUUCUCUGGCCUAUUACUGACACUCAGUGUGCGAAAGCUAGGGGAGCAAACGGGAUUAGAUACCCCGGUAGUCCUAGCCCGUAAACGAUGGGCACUAAGUAGAGGGAAUUACCUAUGUUCUCUCUGCCGUAGCUAACGCAUUAAGUGCCCCAGCCUGGGGAGUCGGCGCAAGGCUA